rnacentral:misc_RNA from 1 species
GAUCAUUACCGAGUUAUACAACUCAUCAACCCUGUGAACAUACCUAAAACGUUGCCUCGGCGGGAACAGACGGCCCCGUAACACGGGCCGCCCCCGCCAGAGGACCCCCUAACUCUGUUUCUAUAAUGUUUCUUCUGAGUAAACAAGCAAAUAAAUUAAAACUUUCAACAACGGAUCUCUUGGCUCUGGCAUCGAUGAAGAACGCAGCGAAAUGCGAUAAGUAAUGUGAAUUGCAGAAUUCAGUGAAUCAUCGAAUCUUUGAACGCACAUUGCGCCCGCCAGUAUUCUGGCGGGCAUGCCUGUUCGAGCGUCAUUACAACCCUCAGGCCCCCGGGCCUGGCGUUGGGGAUCGGCGGAAGCCCCCUGCGGGCACAACGCCGUCCCCCAAAUACAGUGGCGGUCCCGCCGCAGCUUCCAUUGCGUAGUAGCUAACACCUCGCAACUGGAGAGCGGCGCGGCCACGCCGUAAAACACCCAACUUCUGAAUGUUGACCUCGAAUCAGGUAGGAAUACCCGCUGAACCUAAGCAUAUCU